rnacentral:rRNA from 1 species
AGUGGCGCACGGGUGAGUAACGCGUGGGUAAUCUGCCCCGGAAUCGGGGAUAACAUUGCGAAAGCGAUGCUAAUACCGGAUAACGACAUGUCGGCUCUGGUCGGCGUGUCCAAAGGUGGCCUCUGCAUGCAAGCCACUGUUUUGGGACGAGCCCGCGUACCAUUAGCUAGUUGGCGGGGUAACGGCCCACCAAGGCGACGAUGGUUAGCUGGUCUGAGAGGGUGAUCAGCCACACCGGAACUGGAACACGGUCCGGACUCCUACGGGAGGCAGCAGUGAGGAAUUUUGCGCAAUGGGGGAAACCCUGACGCAGCAACGCCGCGUGAGUGACGAAGGCUUUCGGGUUGUAAAGCUCUUUCGCCAGGGACGAUAAUGACGGUACCUGGAUAAGAAGCCCCGGCUAACUUCGUGCCAGCAGCCGCGGUAAUACGAAAGGGGCUAGCGUUGUUCGGAAUUACUGGGCGUAAAGCGCAUGCAGGCGG